GACGAACGCUGGCGGCGUGCUUAACACAUGCAAGUCGUACGGUAAGGCCCUUUCGGGGGUACACGAGUGGCGAACGGGUGCGUAACACGUGAGUAACCUGCCCACAACUUUGGGAUAACGCUAGGAAACUGGUGCUAAUACUGGAUAUGUGCCCCUGCUGCAUGGUGGGGGUUGGAAAGCUCCGGCGGUUGUGGAUGGACUCGCGGCCUAUCAGCUUGUUGGUGGGGUAGUGGCCUACCAAGGCGGUGACGGGUAGCCGGCCUGAGAGGGUGACCGGCCACAUUGGGACUGAGAUACGGCCCAGACUCCUACGGGAGGCAGCAGUGGGGAAUAUUGCACAAUGGGCGCAAGCCUGAUGCAGCAACGCCGCGUGCAGGAUGACGGCCUUCGGGUUGUAAACCGCUUUCAGCAGGGACGAAGCUUUUUGUGACGGUACCUGCAGAAGAAGCACCGGCUAACUACGUG
rnacentral:rRNA from 1 species